GUUCGUGUAGUUGAAUACAACGGUAGUUUUUCAAAUUGCUGGUCCUGGUUAAAGUCCUGGCAGGAAUU
ensembl:Mt_tRNA